rnacentral:tRNA from 1 species
UUUCUAAUAGUUUAUAGGUAAAACAUUUGGCUGUUAACCAAAAGAUUAUUGGUUCGAAUCCAAUUUAGAAAG